GGGGAAUAACAUUCAUACAUAUAAGCAUGAAAUGACUACUCAUGCGUAAAAAUUCUUUUUCAUCUUUUAAGUUCAUAUCUGAGGAUGAUACAGAAUACACACCUUGUAUUUAAAAUUUAUUUUUGGGAAGGAGAAAGGAGGAAUUUCCACAGGUCAUGAUGGCAUACUUGAUUUACCUUUAUGUGGAAAAUUUCCCACCCAAUCUUUUGAUGAUCACACCUUGAUACUUUUCUGAACAAAAAACUCCCCUAUGAAAAUUCAUGCUUGUGAAUUAGUUUCUUUUGUGAACAUCUUAUGAGGGCACUGCACUCUUCUCAGGAACCGUCAUACCAUAGUGAUUGAUAAUUGUAGGAGGUUCAUGUAUAAAACCUAAAAAUUCUCUUUCAUCCGAAGGUUUGUCACUAUUCAAGAAAACAGAAAAGGUUUUCGCUGUCAUGGCCUACGUACUUCUGCAAACUAAAUUAGCUCUUUACAAUAUUAUGUUCCUCUUCAUGCAUAAACGUCUUGCAUUCUUU
rnacentral:misc_RNA from 1 species